UUUGGUUACUAGGCAAUGUGGUGUUUAGGUCGUUCCGCAGAGAUGCUGCUCCACUCCAAGUCCAUUCAUGAGUACGGUUGUACAGACUUGGCCCAUAGAGGGUGAAAGGCCCGUGGGGGUGGUGUUUCAGGCAUGUCAGUGUCUCUCUGGAUAGACCUUGGAGUCGGGUUGUUUGUGAAUGCAGCCCAAAGUGGGUGGUAAACUCCAUCCAAGGCUAAAUACUUGCACGAGUCCGAUAGCGAACAAGUACCGUGAGGGAAAGUUGAAAAGUACUUUGAAGAGAGAGUAAACAGUGCGUGAAACCGCUCAGAGGUAAACGGGUGGAGUUGAACUGCGAUCCCAGAGAAUUCAGCUGGUGAGAUUGGCUUGAUCUUGGUCAAGUUGGUUGUGCAUUGAAGUCUGCGUAGUCAGCAGGUCUCUACUCUCGGGUGGAGAUGCGCGAGGCAUUCGAAGGAGUGUUGCGCGCUUCAGUGUUCUCGGGCCUUCUUGCCGGUGCAUUUUCUCUGGGUGUUCACCACGACCGGUAUGCUGUCUGGCUGUUGUGGUUAAACCGGUCUUGCUUUGUCCUUGUGGCUUUGCUUGAUCGGGAUGGCAGGUAACCUGUUGGCUAGUCUUUGGCAUUGCUUUCAGGUGUAAUUUGCUGACCAUGAUGGUUCUGUGCAGUGUGUCGGAGACGGCGGCUAGUGGUGUGAGCAUGCGUGCUUUGUUCUGCUGACUUGGUGGGGUCUGGUUGCCAUGUAGCUGGUUGUGCCAGCCUGGUGAUGUCCUUUCCAUGGGUGGUGGACGGUAGCGUGUGUGGCACUUAUCAGGGCCAAUAGUCUGUGGUGUUGUGGUAGACUUUCCACCCGACCCGUCUUGAAACACGGACCAAGGAGAGUAACAUGUGUGCGAGUCAUUGGGCGUAACGAAACCCACAGGCGAAGUGAAAGUAAAGGUUUGGUUUAUCCAGACUGAGGUGAGAUCCUGCUGUACCCUUGCACGUGGAAACCCCAGGCAACGCUCAGUAGG
rnacentral:rRNA from 1 species